GCUGAGGCUCCUUGGGAAGGAAGUCACGUGGCUGAGCGCCGCGCUUCCCUCGGAGCCCCCGCCUCUUCUCGGGCUUCUCAGCCCCGCCCUGCUGAGCCGCCGACGCGGAGGAGCCGCCGCCUGCAGGUCUGAGGACUCCUACAGCUUUGGCAGAAAUCUGAAGAGGUUGGGAGUAGAAACUAUCAAAGGAAGAGAUAGGCUAAGCCACCAAUUCCUUUCCGUUUAGAGAAACUGAGGUCGGGAGAGGAGUAAGGGUGGCUUUAAAGAUUCAAUCCGUCUUUCACUUUACUGACUUCAUCUCUUAAUAACUUGGAAAUCUCUCCCACGUGUAUCUUCCAUUUAACUAAGAGACUACUUCCUGAAGGAGCUGGUAUUUGGGGCGAGCCUGGAAAGAUCAGGAUUCCGACAGGUGUCCUCUGCUCUGUGUGGAUUCUGUUUCCCUGUGAGCCUGGCUUGCAUAUAAUGCCGAAUUGCUACUGGUUCCUUCAACAAGCUGGUGGUCAGAUGGCUACGGGAGCCCAAGCAGAUGACACAAUCAGCAGAUUCUUUCGAGCAGAACUAAUGGAUGGGCUGGUCCCGGUGCCAAGCGGUCACUGACAGAAGGUACAGAGCCCACCGGCAUUGGGUCACAGCGAGACAUUGGGCCACACACCCAAACAGAGAGGAUUUCCAGCAUCGAGAGUCGUAAGUUUACAAAGCCGUAAGAACCGUGAAGAUUCCGGAAAGAACGCCCCCAGGAUGUCACAGCUAGCUUACAGCAGUGUUUCUCACAUGGUCAGAAAUACAUUUGACCUGGUGACCAGUGAGUGUGAGUGUAACAUAAACAUACACAAGGUUAAUAGAUACAUCUGUGUAAUUGAAACGGGAAUGUCAUGAUACAAUGUUACCCUUUCCAAAUGCUAUGUUGUUUUCCUUUCUAUUGUUGUUUUGGUAAAGCUGUUUUUGACCCACGAAAUUGGUCUAUGACCCACUAAAGAGUCACAACCUGUAAUUUGAAAAGUACCGUACACAUAAGCAAAAACUCCUUGUGCUAUCUCAUUCUGAACCAUCUAACUCACUUUUAAUUAUGUAGUAAAAUUUUCUGAAACUAAGUGUAAUCACCACUCUUGGUUCAAAAGGUCUCAUGUUUCAUGUAAAACCCUUUUCAGAAAACAAUUAUUUUCCCUGCUCCUCACUCUCCGUUUCUGCAUGCAUAGCUAGAGCGAAGCUGUUACACUGUAAGUUCUAUCACGUCAGUCCUUUGCAUGAAACCCUUCAGUGGCCCCUGGUUGCCAGUGAUAAUAAUAGCUAACACUCAAACACGCUUACCAUAUGCCAGGCCCUCUUCUAAACAUUUUACACGUUUCACUCAUUUGUUCCUCACAGUAGCUCUAGAAGGCCGGGUUAUUAUCAGACCCGUCUUACAAUGAUGAUGAGUAACCAGCACAAAGACCCGCCGCUAGUCAGAGGCAAGCUAGGAUUUGAACCCGAGCCACAGUCCAGUUCGAGUCAGCACUCUUGGCCACUGGGCCUCGCUCCCCUUGGCAGAGAACAGUGCUUAAAAUACUUUCCAAGCCUCAUCAUGCCACCCUGUGUGCUCCUGCCUCCUGACCAGUGCUGUGACCUCCCACAUGCACUUCCCUAUGCCUAGCAUGAGUCACCUCCUGCAUCUGAGCUUCCCUUCAGGUCUUCCUCACUCCUUUACACGGCCUUAGAUGUCCCCUCUGUGUUCCCACAGUACUCCGUUCCCUGCGCCCCUGCUCUCCCCCUCAUUCUGACACUGACUCCAUGCAAGGAGAUAGAGGAGCAAAAGUGACCAAGUCCUUGCCCUCAUGAGCUCAUAGUUCCCAAAAGGGGGUGAGGGGAGAAGGUAAUACAUGACUAUCUAGAAUGUCAGCUGGUGACAGUGUUAAUGAGAAAAAUAAAGCAGAGUAGAGGGGAUAGGGCGUGCGCAGGGCAAGGGCCAUGUGCCUAUUUUAUAUUGGGAGGGUAGGGGAAGGGCUCACUGAGGAGGUGACCUCUCAGCAGAGAUCAAAGGAAGAAAGAGACAGCCAUGUGGCUUUCAGGGGGAGGAAUAGUCCAUUAAAAGAGAACCACCAAUGCAAGCGCCUCGAGUGGAGAGAGUGCAUGGAGGGUUCAAGAAGAGUAAGGAGGCCAGUGUGGCUGGAACAGAGUGAGACUGGAAGAAAGUGAGUCAGAGAGGUAGGGUGCCAGAUGGCUCGGGGCCUUGCAGGUCACUUUGUCUUUUACCCUGUGUGAUCCACUAGAAGGCUCUGAGCAGAAGAGUAAUAUGUGAGCUUUCUAUUCCUGCUCUAAAAAUCACACAAAUUUCAUGGCUUAAAACAACACAAAUUGAUUGUCUUACAGUUCUGGAGGUCAGGAGUUAGACACAGGUCUCUCCUGGAUAAAAUCAAGGUGUUGGCAGGGCAGAGCUGUGUGUCUUCUGGGGGCUCCGGGGGAGAAUCUGUUCCUCGCGUUUUCUAGCUUCCAGAGACUCUCUUCAUCUUCAGAGCCAGCAAUGUACAUUUCUGUGACCACUUUUUCUGUGGUCACAUCUGCCUCUGACCACAGCCACGUCUAAGGAUUCAUGUGAUUUAGGUUGGGCCCACCUGAAUAAUCCAGAAUAGUCUCCACAUCUCAAGGUCCUCAAUCACAUCUGCAAAGUCCUUUGGUAGCAUAUUUAUAGGUUCCAGGGACUAGGACAUGAACAUCUUUUGUUGGAGAGGGAGGCAUUAUUCUGCCUACAACAAGUGACAUGAUCUGUCUUCAGUUUUAAGACGAUCACUCCGGGGUGGACACAGGGAGACCAGGUAGGAAGCCAUUAGGGUCAUACAGAUGAGAUCGAUGGAGUCCUGGGCCAGAGUGCUAACAGUAAGAGUGGAGAGAUGAGGUCAAAUUCUGGAUGUCUUGUGGACAUAGAGGUGACAUGAUUUGCUGAUGUAUUGGAUGUGGGAUGUGAGGGGAGAAGUCAAGGAUAUUUCCAAGGUUGAUACUCUCUCCCCUGCUUACAGUAUUUAACAGAGACACAACCUCUGGUGUUAUUUGUUAAACUAUCUCCCUUAAUUUAGUUAUUUAACUAAAUUAGUUAGUUUCGUUUUUAGACUAAGACUCCCCUUUAGACUGAGAGUUCAAAUCUGGAUUGUUCACUGUUGUAUUUUCACAUCACUGAGUGUGUAGAACAUAGCAAUACAGUUCGUAAUUACUGCUUAUUGAAAUAUUACCAUGUGUCAGGUGCUUUAUCUUAUUUAAUCAUUGGAACAGCCUCUAUUACUACCAUUAUUUACUACAUGAGGGAACUGAGGCCCAGGAAGAUUAAAUGACUUACAGAAGUAAAUAGAAGAGUCAGGAUUUAAAUCCACAUUGAGUUAAUAUAUGAAUUCAAAUUAAUCAAAAUAGCCUGACCACAUGUGGAAUGGGAGAUGGAGAAAAAAAACACAGGUUUAUAAAUAUUUUGGUUACAGCCAUAGACCAAUCAUGUCAAGAAACAACAGAAGUUAGCGCAACUGACUUACAAAUUCUUUUUUUUUUUUUUUUAAAGAUUUUAUUUAUUUAUAUGACAGAGAGAGACAGCGAGAACAGGAACACAAGCAGGGGGAGUGGGAGAGCGAGAAGCAGGCUUCCCGCCGAGCAGGGAGCCUGACGCAGGACUCGAUCCCAGGACCCUGGGAUCAUGACCCGAGCCGAAGGCAGACGCUUAACAACUGAGCCACCCAGGCGCCCUGACUUACAAAUUCUUAAGUAUAGUCAAUUUAGCUGUGGUUUGGUUACUACGAUGAGUGACACAGGUGAUAAUUUCAGAAAUGUUUUGUAACUACUCUGAAGGCGAAGAGGAGAAAAACAGAUGACAUCAGGCAGACCAUGGUGGUACAAUGAAAACUGCCCAGAUCUAAGAGGAGUCUCACUUCAGUUCCAACCACUUAUUAGCCAGUCUAUUUUGAGGUAUUUACAUCAUCUUUCUGAGACCAUCUCGACUAUAAAAAGGAUAUAUUUUCUACCUUAUUUACUUCAGAGCCUCUUGGGAGAAACUAAGUUUAUUCAUUUAAUAAAUACAGAGCAUUAUGUGUGCCUGGCAUUGCUGUGGACACCAGCAACAGGUCAUGAACAAAACAGACAAAAUCCUCACCGUCGUGCAGUUUGCAUUCUAGCGGAAAGGGAGACUGAUAAAAAUCAGAAUAGACAAUAGUAGAUAAAUGCUAUAAAGUGAUAAAUGCUAAAGAAAAACAAAACAGGACAGGGCUUAGUGAGUGAUCCAGGGAGGAAGUAACAUUGGACAGAGACUUGAAUAAAGAGAGAUCAAGCUAGACAAUAAUCUGAGGAAAAGGCAGUCCAGGCCGAGGGAAGGAACAGAAUUUGUGAAGUUCCUGAAGUCAGAAUGAUCUUGGGGUUCAUAUCUGAGGCACAGCAAGGAGCAAGCAGGGACAACGGUGGAUGAUGCUGAAGAGGUAGGCAGAGGCCCGCUCAUGCAGCCUUGCAGGCGAGGGCAGAAAGCAUGCAUUUUAUCGUGCUCAUGAGAGGAAGAAAA